CCUACGGGAGGCUGCAGUCGGGAAUAUUGCGCAAUGGAGGAAACUCUGACGCAGUCACGCCGCGUGCAGGAAGAAGGUUUUCGGAUUGUAAACUGCUUUAUACAGGGGAGAAACAAGACGGUACCUGUACAAUAAGCUCCAGCUAACUACGUGCCAGCAGCCGCGGUAAUACGUAGGGAGCGAGCGUUAUCCGGAUUUAUUGGGUUUAACGGGUGCGUAGACGGGAAGUCAAGUUGGUUGUGAAAUCCCUCGGCUUAACUGAGGAACUGCAACUAAAACUAACUUUCUUGAGUGCUGGAGAGGAAAGUGGAAUUCGUGGUGUAGCGGUGAAAUGCGUAGAUAUUAGGAGGAACACCGGUGGCGAAGGCGACUUUCUGGACAGUAACUGACGUUGAGGCACGAAAGUGUGGGGAGCAAACAGGAUUAGAUACCCUGGUAGUC
rnacentral:rRNA from 1 species